UAGCUUUAGCGAUGGAUCGGUUGAUUCGCGUAUCGAUGAAAAACGCAGCAAGCUGCGUUAUUUACCACGAAUUGCAGA
rnacentral:rRNA from 1 species